rnacentral:rRNA from 1 species
GUGGGGAAUAUUGGGCAAUGGGGGAAACCCUGACCCAGCGACGCCGCGUGAGGGAAGACGGCCUUCGGGUUGUAAACCUCUUUUGUACGGGAAGAAGGAAGUGACGGUACUGUACGAAUAAGUCCCGGCUAACUACGUGCCAGCAGCCGCGGUAAUACGUAGGGGACGAGCGUUGUCCGGAAUUACUGGGCGUAAAGGGCGCGCAGGCUGUGCUGCAAGUCAGCUGUGAAAUGUCUGGGCUUAACCCGGGCAUGCGGUUGAGACUGCAGUGCUGGAGUGCUGUAGAGGCAAGUGGAAUUCCCAGUGUAGCGGUGAAAUGCGUAGAUAUUGGGAAGAACACCGGUGGCGAAGGCGACUUGCUGGCCAGCAACUGACGCUGAGGCGCGAAAGCCAGGGGAGCAAACGGGAUUAGAUACCCCUGUAGUCC